rnacentral:lncRNA from 1 species
UUUCGAUAAAAUCACUGGGGGCACUGGCAAUCAUGCGCUCAUAGUAGAACGAGCUCAGGGUCUUGAGGAAAAUCUUGGUCAUCUCAUUUUCUUCCAAAUGAGGGGUAAUCUGAGCGGCAAGCUCUCUCCAUCGCUGAGCGUACUCCUUGAACGUCUCCUUGUCCUUCUGAGACAAUGACCUCAAUUGGUCCCUAUCCAGCGUCAUAUUCAU